rnacentral:lncRNA from 1 species
AAUUUGGACCUCUGACCGACGUGCAAACUGGUCGGAGGGCUGCAGCACCCGGGCUGCCCAAGUGGGCCGCAAUUUUACGGUCCUUUAUGGACUCCUGGCUUCCGCGCCUCCAUGCCUCUUACACCCUGCCAGCCACAAACUGCCCGGAUCGGCGUUUGAUCUUGCCCUCGCCUGGGGAAAGUGUCUUCCCCGAGCAAUUGAAGCAUUCCCCGAGCAGUUGAAACACUGGGUGCUUGGGGUGAGCUUCGAAUCCCCCAAGUCCAGGACUUGCAUCCGCCCCCUCAGCACCCCGCACUCAAGGCACUGCUGUCACCCUCAGUCCCGCCAAUGCCAGAACACAGUAGGAGACCCCCGCCAGAACGCAGAUAGCAGAGAGAGUUGCUCAGUACCGCUGGUGACGCCACUCGGCGAGCGCAAGUGGAUAAAUAGAAACGUCUGCCACAGCGAAGAUGAAAGGAAACCCGCAGCUAAUGGCUCGGCAGUGAUGCGCCAGAUGGCCUUAAGUUUUCCACAGCCUGGCUUCAUCUUGAGAUGGCUAUUCGUACAAGAAGUCG